rnacentral:rRNA from 1 species
GAUGAACGCUGGCGGCGUGCCUAAUACAUGCAAGUCGAGCGAACGGACGAGAAGCUUGCUUCUCUGAUGUUAGCGGCGGACGGGUGAGUAACACGUGGAUAACCUACCUAUAAGACUGGGAUAACUUCGGGAAACCGGAGCUAAUACCGGAUAAUAUUUUGAACCGCAUGGUUCAAAAGUGAAAGACGGUCUUGCUGUCACUUAUAGAUGGAUCCGCGCUGCAUUAGCUAGUUGGUAAGGUAACGGCUACCAAGGCAACGAUGCAUAGCCGACCUGAGAGGGUGAUCGGCCACACUGGAACUGAGACACGGUCCAGACUCCUACGGGAGGCAGCAGUAGGGAAUCUUCCGCAAAGGGCGAAAGCCUGACGGAGCAACGCCGCGUGAGUGAUGAAGGUCUUCGGAUCGUAAAACUCUGUUAUUAGGGAAGAACAUAUGUGUAAGUAACUGUGCACAUCUUGACGGUACCUAAUCAGAAAGCCACGGCUAACUACGUG